CCGGAGUGAUGUCACGGCGUAUCCGUCACACCCUCGAGACGUGCAAACGGCUCGGGAGAAGAGGUAUGAGGAUCAAAUAUAUAGGAGCUAAAUCUGAUGGUAAAGAUUAGAGAUCUCAAGGUUUGUACCGGUAAAAAAAAAGUCCAUAGAGACUGUUAACCUGGGAUUGUUGGCCUGUGUGGACCAUGGACAGACUUCAGAAGUUUGUGCUUCAUAUACAGGCGGGCUCUCCCAUCAUGCUCCAAAAUGGCUCCAGAGUGCAUG